UGGGGAAUAUUGCACAAUGGGCGCAAGCCUGAUGCAGCCAUGCCGCGUGUAUGAAGAAGGCCUUCGGGUUGUAAAGUACUUUCAGCGGGGAGGAAGGCGAUAAGGUUAAUAACCUUGUCGAUUGACGUUACCCGCAGAAGAAGCACCGGCUAACUCCGUGCCAGCAGCCGCGGUAAUAAGAAGGGGGCAAGCGUUAAUCGGAAUUACUGGGCGUAAAGCGCACGCAGGCGGUCUGUCAAGUCGGAUGUGAAAUCCCCGGGCUCAACCUGGGAACUGCAUUCGAAACUGGCAGGCUAGAGUCUUGUAGAGGGGGGUAGAAUUCCAGGUGUAGCGGUGAAAUGCGUAGAGAUCUGGAGGAAUACCGGUGGCGAAGGCGGCCCCCUGGACAAAGACUGACGCUCAGGUGCGAAAGCGUGGGGAGCAAACA
rnacentral:rRNA from 1 species